GCUAGGUUAUACAUCAAAAGUAGUAUUUAUAAUUAUAUGAAGAAAUACAGUAUGAUACAUUAGGUUGAUUAUUAAUUAAUUAAAUAUGAUUUGUUCUUUAGAAAAAGUCAUUGUGCUCGGUGUGCAACAAGCAGCAAAGUCUAGUUACACUGUUGGAGUCAGAUGUCAAUUGGGAUGCAAGUCCUGUUCCUUUCCUCAGUCACACUUGUGUCCUCUGUUUAUUGUAGAUGUUGCAUAAUGAUUGUGUUGUGACAAAUGAUUAAAUAAAUUAAAUGCUAAAUUAGAAGCCUUAAUUCCAUGAUUAAGUUCAGGUUUAUAUCUUUGAAUAGCGAGAGAUUCUUGAUACAGCAAAAGGGAAACUUAAUCAUGUAAUUAUUAUUAUUCCU